UCCUACGGGGCGCAGCAGUGGGGAAUAUUGCGCAAUGGGCGAAAGCCUGACGCAGCGACGCCGCGUGAGGGAUGAAGGUCUUCGGAUCGUAAAGCUCUGUUGCGGGGGAAAAAAGGCAGCAUCAGGAAAUGGGUGCUGACUGAUGGUGCCCCGCCAGAAAGUCACGGCUAACUACGUGCCAGCAGCCGCGGUAAUACGUAGGUGGCGAGCGUUAUCCGGAAUGAUUGGGCGUAAAGGGUGCGCAGGCGGUCCUGCAAGUCUGGAGUGAAGCGCAUGAGCUCAACUCAUGCAUGGCUUUGGAAACU
rnacentral:rRNA from 1 species